GUAUUUUGGGCCUUUAUUGAUCUUAUUACAAAUCCUUUUGUCCUGAACCGAUGCCAUUUAUAGUUUCCUAUUAAACCUCCUGUUUAAUAAAAAACUAGGGGGCAAUAUUGGGUCGUGAUAUUUCUCCUAUUGGGCCGGAUAAAUUGGGCCCAUUUAUCAGUAUAAUCUGUUGGGCUUUUAUUAUUAAACCAUGGGACUCUUUGAGCCCAUUUAUUGUGUCAACUUUAUUUAAUCCUGUUGGACCGGGUCAG
rnacentral:lncRNA from 1 species